CCUACGGUGGGCAGCAGUGAGGAAUAUUGGUCAAUGGGCGUAAGCCUGAACCAGCCAAGUCGCGUGAGGGAUGAAGGUUCUAUGGAUCGUAAACCUCUUUUAUAAGGGAAUAAAGUGUGGGACGUGUCCUAUUUUGUAUGUACCUUAUGAAUAAGGAUCGGCUAACUCCGUGCCAGCAGCCGCGGUAAUACGGAGGAUCCGAGCGUUAUCCGGAUUUAUUGGGUUUAAAGGGUGCGUAGGCGGCCUUUUAAGUCAGCGGUGAAAGUCUGUGGCUCAACCAUAGAAUUGCCGUUGAAACUGGGGGGCUUGAGUAUGUAUGAGGUAGGCGGAAUUCGUGGUGUAGCGGUGAAAUGCUUAGAUAUCACGAAGAACUCCGAUUGCGAAGGCAGCUUACUAAACUGCCACUGACAUUGAUGCUCGAAAGUGUGGGUAUCAAACAGGAUUAGAUACCCUAGUAGUC
rnacentral:rRNA from 1 species